GAAACAAAGAAGAUAUAGAGGGAAGAAAAAAAAAAUCUUGAAAAAAAAAUGACUUUGAUUUAUAUACGGAAACUUUUUUGAAUCUUUGGUGCCCUCACUAAUUUUGUUUGUUUCUGUGAUUCUUAUCUUU
rnacentral:ribozyme from 1 species